UGCCAGCCGCCGCGGUAAUACGGAGGGUCCGAGCGUUAUCCGGAAUCAUUGGGUUUAAAGGGUCCGCAGGCGGUCAAUUAAGUCAGAGGUGAAAUCCCAUAGCUUAACUAUGGAACUGCCUUUGAUACUGGUUGACUUGAGUCAUAUGGAAGUAGAUAGAAUGUGUAGUGUAGCGGUGAAAUGCAUAGAUAUUACACAGAAUACCAAUUGCGAAGGCAGAUCACUAACACUAUAUUGACGCUGAGGUGCGAAAGCGUGGGGAGCAAACAGGAUUAGAUA
rnacentral:rRNA from 1 species